UCCGGUUUGUCACCGGCAGUCUCCUUAAAGUGCCCGACCAAAUCGAUGGCAACUAAGGACAAGGGUUGCGCUCGUUACGGGACUUAACCCAACAUCUCACGACACGAGCUGACGACAGCCAUGCAGCACCUGUCACCGAGUUCCCGAAGGCACAAAACCAUCUCUGGCUUCUUCUCGGGAUGUCAAGACCUGGUAAGGUUCUUCGCGUUGCGUCGAAUUAAACCACAUGCUCCACCGCUUGUGCGGGCCCCCGUCAAUUCAUUUGAGUUUUAACCUUGCGGCCGUACUCCCCAGGCGGUCUACUUAUCGCGUUAACUGCGCUACUAAAUCCUCUAGGAAUCCAACAGCUAGUAGACAUCGUUUACAGCGUGGACUAC
rnacentral:misc_RNA from 1 species